CGCACUAGUUCAGAGUUUGAUCCUGGCUCAGGACGAACGCUGGCGGCGUGCUUAACACAUGCAAGUCGAACGAUGAAAGAGGAGCUUGCUCCUCUGGAUUAGUGGCGAACGGGUGAGUAACACGUGAGCAAUCUGCCCCUGACUCCGGAAUAACUACGGGAAACUGUAGCUAAUACCGGAUAUGCGCCGAACAGGCAUCUGUAUCGGUGGGAAAGAAUUUCGGUCAGGGAUGAGCUCGCGGCCUAUCAGCUUGUUGGUGAGGUAACGGCUCACCAAGGCGACGACGGGUAGCCGGCCUGAGAGGGUGACCGGCCACAUUGGGACUGAGACACGGCCCAG
rnacentral:rRNA from 1 species